GUUGGUGUGGGACUCCUCAGGCUUGUUAAAUGGGAGUGAUGGGAGGUCGCCAUAUUGGAUCCACUGUCUCACAGGCCGAGAGGAACAAACAGACCCCUGAUUGGUCCUCAGUUUUCGGCUCUUCGUUAUUGAGCUACAUGUUGUUUUUAAUGUAACCGUGUGUCCUGGUUAAACCGCUCUCGGUCUGGAGGACGCUAUAGGAGGACCCAGGACGGCUGGGUGUGUUUUAUCCCGGGUGGAUAAGCUAGCUAAGCUAAGCUAAGCUAGUGGAAUUUGAAUGGAUCCGAGGGUCGCCUGGAUUCAGCCGGAACAGAAAGGACCUGCUAAUGCGUUAUGGAUGCAUGUGUGGGAAACGUCUCAGGGAAUCCGGACUAACGCGGCGCACCAUCACCGCCAGCAGCUGAGCGAGCUGUGUGUCACCGCUGGCUUCUGCGACGUGUGUAAAAAUCAAGGGAAAGAUGUGUGCAGUGAGUCUGGGUGUUCAUCCAGCACCCACCAUCACCACCACCACCAUCCUCCUCCUCCUCCUCUUCCUCCUGCUUCUUCUUCUGCUUCUUCCUCAUCAUCAUCUUCUUCUUCUCACCAGAGCAAUGCAAACAGCACUAAUGUCCGGAGCGCCUUCGCGACAUUAUCGAUUAAUAAUAAUAACAACGUUAGCGCCGCGACACCUCCUCUGAACGCAGCCGACAUGGCUCCCACUGAGAAGGGCUCCCGGUCUCCCCCGGACCCGGGCACGGACAGCUCCUACCCGGAUUCCUCUUCCGCCAUAAGGGCUAACGAGACCAACAAAAACCGCUUGUGUUUCAGUUUCAGCGAACUGAACAACGUCAACCAAAAUCACCUUCAUAAUCAUUAUCACCAUCAUCAUCAUCACCACCAUCACCAACAUUCGCGAUAUUUCCAUCAGGAACAGCAGCCGUAUUUCCAGCAGAACUGCAUGAAGCGCUACCCGUUCAACCCGGGAUUUAACAACCACAACAAUCACCUCCACCAUCACCCGGGACGGAGGAAAAAUGAAAAUAAAGCGAGCACAUACGGGAUAAAUUAUCUUCUCUCCAACUGGACUAACGGCAAUCAUGUCAGUCCCGUUACACUGUGGAAAACCAGGACGUACAGCCCCGGACUGAACGGGCUUCAUGAGGAGAUUAUAGACUUCUACAACUUCAUGUCCCCUCGACCCGAAGAGGCCACCAUGAGGCAAGAGGUAGUCGACCGAAUCGAGUCAGUCAUCAAGGAGCUGUGGCCAAGUGCUGACGUUCAGAUAUUCGGCAGCUUUAGCACUGGACUCUACCUCCCAACCAGUGACAUUGACUUGGUGGUGUUUGGGAAAUGGGACAGACCUCCCCUACAGCAGUUGGAACAGGCCCUCCGGAAGAAUAACGUGGCCGAGCCAUUCUCUAUCAAAGUACUUGACAAAGCUACGGUACCAAUUAUCAAAUUGACCGAUCAGGAAACAGAGGUCAAAGUGGACAUCAGUUUCAACGUGGAGACUGGAGUCAAAGCUGCCCGCUUCAUCAAGGAUUAUGUGAAGAAGUAUACCGUGCUGCCUUACUUGAUCUUCGUGCUGAAGCAGUUCCUCCUGCAGAGGGAUCUGAACGAGGUCUUUACUGGAGGCAUCAGCUCCUACAGCCUCAUCCUGAUGGUCAUCAGUUUCCUGCAGCUCCACCCCCGAAUCGACGCCAGAACUCCCAACACGAACCUUGGUGUUCUGCUCAUCGAGUUCUUCGAGCUGUACGGCCGCCAUUUUAACUACCUGAAAACAGGCAUCAGGAUAAAGAACGGCGGUGCCUACAUGGCCAAAGAGGACAUCAUGAAAGCCAUGAGCAACGGCUACAGGCCGUCCAUGCUCUGCAUCGAGGACCCUCUUCUUCCAGGUAAUGAUGUAGGCAGGAGCUCAUACGGAGCCAUGCAGGUGAAACAUGUGUUUGACUAUGCCUACAUCGUCCUCAGCCAUGCAGUGUCGCCUCUCGCAAAUUCCUACCCCAACAAGGACAGCGACAGCACUUUGGGACGCAUCAUUAAAGUCACCCAGGAAGUGAUCGACUACAGGGAGUGGAUCGUUAACAAGUGGGGAAGCAAGCAAACCGAGAGGAAUAACGGUCCUGCUCAUAAAGACUCGGUGGAGCAGGCAGACUCGAGCGCUUUGCUCAGUGUUGGAGUGGAGGAGCAGCAGCAACUCCAGAGGGACUCUGUGUCUCCUAACAGCGCUGACUCUCCCAUGUCUCUGUCCAGCCCUAAGCAGCACUCAUCAGCUUCCUCUCUGUCAGGCAGCGACAUCGACUCGGACUGCACGCCGUGUGCAGCUCCAGCAGUGCCCUCCUACCCUCUGCAGACGCUGGCACUGGGCACGCUGCCCGCUGAGCUGCAGAUGGGCACGAGCAAGGCCAACCUCACCAUGCCACUCACAAUGCCUGCUGCCAACCAGACGAGAGUUUCAAUGCCCGGGAGUCUUCCUCUCCACAUUUUACCUGGCAGACAGCAGGCUGGUCCCAAGAGCUUCCACAACCCGACUUUACCACACGGCCACAUGCAGUACAACCGCAACACGUGGCGCCAUAAGAAAAGGGACAGUCUACCAGCCAGCGUCAGUAGAUAAACACAGCAUACUCCUCCUCCCUACCUCCACCACCUCCUUCAUCUCCCUCCCCCCUGCUCCUCCCGCUCCUCCUCUUCCUCCUCUUGUCAUAAAACGAUGAAAACUCGACGAGGCCUCCUGCUGGUGGGGCGCAAGCCGAGAGACCAGCAGUUUCUGCCGCAGCUCCUCACUCAGUAGCUGCGCUAACGGUGGUGCUACCUUUACUCUCCCACUCCAUCCGUGCACGUGUGUGAAUUUCAGAAACUCGACCCCUGAGGAUGCCUCAGAUCUGUUUGAUGAUCUACACCAUGACUUCUGCUCACAAUGGAAACGUUUUUGUUAUUGUUGCUUUUCCUGUGCAUGACUUCCCUUUUCACUUGAGGGUUUUUUUUUUUUUCCUAAUGGGACACCAUACACAGACGCUAGAUUCAGCAGCUUAUCAGUAUCAUAAUAACAGGGGUAAGGAAUUGUGUUUGUGUAUUUUUUUUUCACCGUGUGUGUGCAAGCAAUCACAAAUGUUUGAGUGGAUGACACAGAGUGGGUUAUUUGUGCAAUAACUUCUUAUUUUCUCUUUUGUUCACUUUAGAUGAGAACUAUUAUUUAAUUAUGCAUCCAGAUGUUUUUUUUUUUUAAUCGCUUUUAUUUUUUAUAGAGUUUUUAAUUUCUGUAAAAUUACACACUUGCCCAUAUUCGGAUUCACAAACUCUCUAGACAUUAAGCUUUAUUUGAGUAAUUUAGGAGGCGAUGAAUCCGUCAUCGCCUCACGCCUGACCCUUACCACUGAGUGGGACGGGGCGCUGCACUCAGAUGAGCCGUGUGCGUGUGUGCGCGUGUGUGUGUUGAAGAAUUAUUUUAACAGUCUGUCUGUAGGUGGCACCAUUUCCUCAUUUGUUUCCAGAUUUUCUCAGCGCUCUCGACUCGUGUGUGUGUGUGUGUGUGUGUGUGUGUAGAUGAGAGUGAAUGGGUGUAUAUCCUCGAACAUGGGUCUGUCUUAGCCGUAGCUCCGUUUACAUUAGAGCUACGCUGCAUGACAGCCAAAGAAGCCUAUAUUCCAGCACUCGGACCUCCAUGUUAGGCUGUGCGUGUGUGUGUGCGAGUGUGUGUUUCCCUUUUAGAUUGCUCUAGGUGUAAGUAAUUAUGGGAGCCUGAGAAGCUGAAAUGAACAUGCAGCUGAGAGACGGGCCAAAGCGCCCAUGUUGGACUCCCUGAGCACUUGGUUGGCACCCAAAUCAAACGAAAAGGGACAAGAAAGGGAACUUACUCUGAUUCCUUUCUGGAAUCUUUAUGUGCAUUUCCAGUGUUACAGGCAUACAGGUUAUUGUAACUAUGCAAAUGGAGCUUUGAAUCCUUCUUCGUUUGACAACCACAUCUUGAAGCCAGAGAGGAAAGACGAGAAAGAGUCUGAGUAAAACCAGGGCACUUCAGAUUAGCAGGCUAACCAAGGUACAUGUGAACAGUUUGUGUAUGCAAGAAAAAUAUUUAAAAAAUGAGAAAAAAAAAAUGUCUGACUGCUGCUGUCGUAAAGUGUUUUGGCAGCAGUUGCAAUCUUUCCUGUGUCUCUUUCUCUCUCUCUCUAUCUUUUUUUUUUUUUUUUUUUUGGAUUAUAUCAGUGCAGGUAUGAAGCGACAGAAUGCCACUGAUAUGGAUCCUUUGUAUAAAAUAACCUGCUGUCACGAACCUGUUUCUGAAGUGCGCAGUGAGGUCGUAGCCAUCUCAGAGACGUUACACACACCUUUCAGCUGUAAGAGUGAACUCCUUGAUGUAAUAGGGGGCAAAUAUGAUCAUAAUAGCAGUAUCUGCUUUUAGGUAGAACCAGCAUCUUUGGGGGGCAAAAAACUCUGCUCAUAAUUAAGCGUGUGUUAUUAUUAUUAUUAUUAUUAUUAUUAUUAUUAUUAUCAUUAUUAUCAUUAUUAUUAUUAUUAAUGAGCAAGUGAAAAUGCAGACUUUGUGAAGAAACAUGACUAGUGUGUGUGUAUGUGUGUGUGUGUGUUCAUCUCUAUGGCUUGGACCUUGAUCAACACAGACUUCCACUACAGUACUGAGUGCAAAACUCCCUAACAGAUGUGAGCAAUUUUAAGCAAUUUUCUGUAUGACCAAAAGCGCCCCUGAAUUUAAUAGAGAAAGCCCUAAAAGUGGCACACCUAGCAUUCAAGAGGUCAAUUAAAGGAUUUUUUUUUUUUUUUUUUUUUUUUGCUGUUUCACCUUAAUAUUUUUAUGUACUUUAUUUUCUAUUUUAUUUUUUAAAUAAAACUCUUAAAACCACCUACAUGUGGUAUUGCAAUUAUUGAUCAGUUGCCAUAUCGAGGUGUGUGUGUGUGUUUUUAAAUCAUCAUCAGCAGUCCAUUUGUGCUCUGCCACUAGACGGCACCCUCACUCCGUCAUUCACUCUUGUUCUCUCACUCUUUCAUGCUGUCUGACUAUCUCUCUAAAACAUUAACCAGGAUUUAAAGCUUUUUGUUCAGUGCAUUACCUUGAGGAAAGACAUGUCUUUUAAAUUGAGCCA